AUCCAUGGGCCGACGCCGCUACACAUUGACAGAGGCAGCGAGUAUCUUAUCCUUGGCGGAGGUCCGGGUAAUUCAUAUGUGGAAACUUCUGUCGUGCAUGGGGAUAGAGCAUUGCAAUUAUUGCUCUUCAACGAGGAAUACCUAGUAAGCGUGAGUCAUCAGCUCGCGUUGAUUACGUCCCUGCCCUUUGUACACACCGCCCGUCGCUACUACCGAUUGAAUGGCUUAGUGAGGUCUUCGGAUCGGCUUUGGGGAGCCGGCCAACCGCUCAUUGCUGAGAAGUUGAUCAAACUUGGUCAUUUAGAGGAAGUAAAAGUCGUAACAAGGUUUCCGUAGGUGAACCUGCGGAAGGAUCAUUA
rnacentral:rRNA from 1 species